rnacentral:rRNA from 1 species
CGGACGGGUGAGUAAUGUCUGGGAAACUGCCUGAUGGAGGGGGAUAACUACUGGAAACGGUAGCUAAUACCGCAUAACGUCGCAAGACCAAAGAGGGGGACCUUCGGGCCUCGCGCCAUCAGAUGAACCCAUAUGGGAUUAGCUAGUAGGUAAGGUAACGGCUUACCUAGGCGACGAUCCCUAGCUGGUCUGAGAGGAUGAUCAGCCACACUGGGGCUGAGACACGGCCCAG